UACGGAGGUUGCAAGCGUUAAUCGGAAUUACUGGGCGUAAAGCGCGCGUAGGCGGUCUGAUAAGUCGGAUGUGAAAGCCCCGGGCUCAACCUGGGAAUUGCAUUCGAUACUGUCGGGCUAGAGUUUGGUAGAGGGUGGUGGAAUUCCCGGUGUAGCGGUGAAAUGCGUAGAUAUCGGGAGGAACAUCAGUGGCGAAGGCGACCACCUGGACCAAAACUGACGCUGAGGUGCGAAAGCGUGGGGAGCAAACAGG
rnacentral:rRNA from 1 species